CCUACGGGAGGGAGCAGUGAGGAAUAUUGGUCAAUGGACGAGAGUCUGAACCAGCCAAGUAGCGUGAAGGAUGACUGCCCUAUGGGUUGUAAACUUCUUUUAUAUGGGAAUAAAAUGUUCCACGUGUGGGAUUUUGUAUGUACCAUAUGAAUAAGGAUCGGCUAACUCCGUGCCAGCAGCCGCGGUAAUACGGAGGAUCCGAGCGUUAUCCGGAUUUAUUGGGUUUAAAGGGAGCGUAGGUGGAUUGUUAAGUCAGUUGUGAAAGUUUGCGGCUCAACCGUAAAAUUGCAGUUGAAACUGGCAGUCUUGAGUACAGUAGAGGUGGGCGGAAUUCGUGGUGUAGCGGUGAAAUGCUUAGAUAUCACGAAGAACUCCGAUUGCGAAGGCAGUUCACUGGACUGCAACUGACACUGAGGCUCGAAAGUGUGGGUAUCAAACAGGAUUAGAUACCCCUGUAGUC
rnacentral:rRNA from 1 species